rnacentral:rRNA from 1 species
GACGAACGCUGGCGGCGUGCUUAACACAUGCAAGUCGAACGGAAAGGCCCUGCUUUUGUGGGGUGCUCGAGUGGCGAACGGGUGAGUAACACGUGAGUAACCUGCCCUUGACUUUGGGAUAACUUCAGGAAACUGGGGCUAAUACCGGAUAGGAGCUCCUGCUGCAUGGUGGGGGUUGGAAAGUUUCGGCGGUUGGGGAUGGACUCGCGGCUUAUCAGCUUGUUGGUGGGGUAGUGGCUUACCAAGGCUUUGACGGGUAGCCGGCCUGAGAGGGUGACCGGCCAAAUUGGGACUGGGAUACGGCCCAGAUUCCUACGGGAGGAAGCAGUGGGGAUUAUUGCACAAUGGGCGGAAGCCUGAUGCAGCAACGCGGCGGGCGGGAUGACGGCCUUCGGUUUGUAAACCGCUUUCGCCUGUGACGAAGCGUGAGUGACGGUAAUGGGUAAAGAAGCACCGGCUAACUACGUG